rnacentral:rRNA from 1 species
AUUGAACGCUGGCGGCAUGCUAUACACAUGCAAGUCGAACGGCAGCGCGGGCUUCGGCCUGGCGGCGAGUGGCGAACGGGUGAGUAAUGCAUCGGAACGUGCCCAGUAGUGGGGGAUAGCCCGGCGAAAGCCGGAUUAAUACCGCAUACGACCUGAGGGUGAAAGCGGGGGACCGAAAGGCCUCGCGCUAUUGGAGCGGCCGAUGUCGGAUUAGCUAGUUGGUGGGGUAAAGGCUUACCAAGGCGACGAUCCGUAGCUGGUCUGAGAGGACGACCAGCCACACUGGGACUGAGACACGGCCCAGACUCCUACGGGAGGCAGCAGUGGGGAAUUUUGGACAAUGGGGGCAACCCUGAUCCAGCCAUGCCGCGUGCGGGAAGAAGGCCUUCGGGUUGUAAACCGCUUUUGUUCGGGAAGAAAUCCUCUGGGCUAAUACCCCGGGGGGAUGACGGUACCGGAAGAAUAAGCACCGGCUAACUACGUG